rnacentral:rRNA from 1 species
UACGUAGGGUGCGAGCGUUGUCCGGAAUUAUUGGGCGUAAAGAGCUUGUAGGCGGUUUGUCGCGUCUGCUGUGAAAAUCCGGGGCUCAACCCCGGACUUGCAGUGGGUACGGGCAGACUAGAGUGUGGUAGGGGAGACUGGAAUUCCUGGUGUAGCGGUGAAAUGCGCAGAUAUCAGGAGGAACACCGAUGGCGUAGGCAGGUCUCUGGGCCACUACUGACGCUGAGAAGCGAAAGCAUGGGGAGCGAACAGG